GUAAGGAAUAUUGGGCAAUGGAGGCAACUCUGACCCAGCCAUGCCGCGUGAAGGAUGACGGCCCUAUGGGUUGUAAACUUCUUUUAUACGGGAAGAAACCCCGAUACGUGUAUCGGGUUGACGGUACUGUAAGAAUAAGGACCGGCUAACUUCGUGCCAGCAGCCGCGGUAAUACGAAGGGUCCAAGCGUUAUCCGGAUUUAUUGGGUUUAAAGGGUGCGUAGGCGGCUUAUUAAGUCAGUGGUGAAAGCCCGUAGCUUAACUACGGAACUGCCAUUGAUACUGAUGAGCUUGAAUAUACUUGAGGUUGGCGGAAUGUGUCAUGUAGCGGUGAAAUGCUUAGAUAUGACACAGAACACCGAUUGCGAAGGCAGCUAGCUAAAGUACAAUUGACGCUGAUGCACGAAAGCGUGGGGAGCAAACAGGAUUAGAUACCCUAGUAGUCC
rnacentral:rRNA from 1 species